UACGUAGGGGGCUAGCGUUGUCCGGAAUCAUUGGGCGUAAAGCGCGCGUAGGCGGCCCUGUAAGUCCGUUGUGAAAGUCAAAGGCUCAACCUUUGAAAGCCGAUGGAUACUGCAGGGCUAGAGUCCGGAAGAGGCGAGUGGAAUUCCUGGUGUAGCGGUGGAAUGCGCAGAUAUCAGGAGGAACACCAAUAGCGAAGGCAGCUCGCUGGGACGGUACUGACGCUAAGGCGCGAAGGCGUGGGGAGCGAACAGG
rnacentral:rRNA from 1 species